UACCUCAAAAAACCACAACAGUCUGUUUCAUCCGUAUAGGAAUCAUCAGGUGGUCCUAUCAUGAUUCCUAUACGGAUGAAACAGACUGUUGUGGUUUUU
rnacentral:miRNA from 1 species